CUGGCAAGGGGCCAACUUCACACAUGGGCCGUCACAGGCAUCCGGGUGCUCUAAACGCCGACACCUUGCCCACACAGGGGCAAGGGGAUCGGGGUCAAGAGUGGAUGUCUGGGGUCCAUGGCGGAAUAAC
rnacentral:sRNA from 1 species